rnacentral:rRNA from 1 species
ACGUAGGGUGCAAGCGUUAAUCGGAAUUACUGGGCGUAAAGCGUGCGCAGGCGGUUCGGAAAGAAAGGUGUGAAAUCCCAGGGCUUAACCUUGGAACUGCACUUUUAACUACCGAGCUAGAGUAUGUCAGAGGGGGGUGGAAUUCCGCGUGUAGCAGUGAAAUGCGUAGAUAUGCGGAGGAACACCGAUGGCGAAGGCAAUCCCCUGGACCUGUACUGACGCUCAUGCACGAAAGCGUGGGGAGCAAACAGGAUUAGAUACCCUGGUAGUCCACGCCCUAAACGAUGUCAACUGGUUGUUGGGUCUUCACUGACUCAGUAACGAAGCUAACGCGUGAAGUUGACCGCCUGGGGAGUACGGCCGCAAGGUUG